UCGGGCGUCGUCUAAGGGUAGGACAGCGGUUUUUGGUGCCGCGAAUCGGGGUUCGAAUCCCUGCGCCCGAACCA
rnacentral:tRNA from 1 species